rnacentral:tRNA from 1 species
GGUUCCAUAGUGUAGUAGUCAUCACGUCUGCUUUACACGCAGAAGGUCCUGGGUUAAAUCCCCAGUGGAACUA